AACGAACGCUGGCGGCAGGCUUAACACAUGCAAGUCGAACGCUCGUCUUCGGACGGGAGUGGCAGACGGGUGAGUAACGCGUGGGAACGUACCCUUCGGUUCGGAAUAACCCGGGGAAACUCGGAUUAAUACCGGAUACGUCCGCAAGGAGAAAGAUUUAUCGCCGAAGGAUCGGCCCGCGUCGGAUUAGCUAGUUGGUGGGGUAAUGGCCCACCAAGGCGACGAUCCGUAGCUGGUCUGAGAGGAUGAUCAGCCACACUGGGACUGAGACACGGCCCAGACUCCUACGGGAGGCAGCAGUGGGGAAUAUUGGACAAUGGGCGAAAGCCUGAUCCAGCCAUGCCGCGUGAGUGAAGAAGGCCUUAGGGUUGUAAAGCUUCUUUCAGCGGGAAGAUAAUGACGGUACCCGCAGAAGAAGCCCCGG
rnacentral:rRNA from 1 species